AUUGAACGCUGGCGGCAGGCCUAACACAUGCAAGUCGCGCGGAGCGGCGGACGGGUGAGUAAUGCCUAGGAAUCUGCCUGGUAGUGGGGGAUAACGUACGGAAACGGGCGCUAAUACCGCAUACUAUCAGAUGAGCCUAGGUCGGAUUAGCUAGUUGGUGGGGUAAAGGCCUACCAAGGCGACGAUCCGUAACGGGUCUGAGAGGAAGAUCAGUCACACUGGAACAGAUGUACGGGCCAGACGCCUAAGGGAGGCAGCAGUGGGGAAUAAUGGACAAUGGGUGAAAGUCUGACCCAGCCAGGCCGGGGGUGUGAAGAAGGUCUUCGGAUUGUAAAACACUUUAAGUUGGGAGGCGUUACCAACAGAAUAAGCACCGGCUAACUUCGUGCCGGAAGCCGGGGUAAUUC
rnacentral:rRNA from 1 species